rnacentral:rRNA from 1 species
UACGUAGGGUGCGGAGCGUUGUCCGGAAUUAUUGGGCGUAAAGGGCUCGUAGGCGGUUUGUCGCGUCGGGAGUGAAAACACUGGGCUUAAACUCCAGUGCUUGCUUCCGAUACGGGCAGACUAGAGGUAUUCAGGGGAGAACGGAAUUCCUGGUGGUAGCGGUGAAAUGCGCAGAGUAUCAGGAGGAACACCGGUGGCGAAGGCGGCAUCCUGGACCGAUACUGACGCUGAGGAGCGAAAGCCAGGGGAGCAAACGGG